rnacentral:rRNA from 1 species
AAAACGACUCUCGGCAACGGAUAUCUCGGCUUUCGCAUCGAUGAAGAACGCAGCGAAAUGCGAUACUUGGUGUGAAUUGCAGAAUCCCGCGAACCAUCGAGUCUUUGAACGCAAGUUGCGCCCGAACCCUUUUGGCCGAGGGCACGUCUGCCUGGGUGUCACG